rnacentral:rRNA from 1 species
CCUUACCUACUCUUGACAUCCAGACAAUUCGCCAGAGAUAGAUUAGUGCCUUCGGGAACUCUGAGACAGUUGUUGCAUGGCAGUGGUCAGCUGGUGUUGUGAAAUGUUGGGUUAAGUCCCGCAACGAGCGCAACCCUUAUCCUUAUUAGCCAGCAAGUAAUGGUGGGAACUCUAGGGAGACUGCCGGUGAUAAACCGGAGGAAGGUGGGGACGACGUCAAGUCAUCAUGGCCCUGACGAGUAGGCCUACACACCUGUUACAAUGGGGGGAACAGAGGGUUGCAAAGCCGAGAGGUGGAGGGAAUCUCACAAAGCCGAUCGUAGUCCGGAUUGUCGUCUGCAACUCGACUCCAUGAAGUCGGAAUCGCUAGUA